rnacentral:rRNA from 1 species
GACGUAGGGCGCGAGCGUGUCCGGAUUUAUUGGGCGUAAAGAGCUCGUAGGCGCUUGUCGCGUCGAAUGUGAAAUCUCAGGGCUCAACCCUGGAAUAGCCUUCGAUACUGGAUAUCUUGAGUUCGGGAGAGGUGAGUGGAACUCCGAGUGUAGAGGUGAAAUUCGUAGAUAUUCGGAAGAACACCAGUGGCGAAGGCGACUCACUGGCCCGAUACUGACGCUGAGGCGCGAAAGCGUGGGGAGCAAACAGG